rnacentral:rRNA from 1 species
AUUGAACGCUGGCGGCAUGCCUUACACAUGCCAGUCGAACGGUAACGCGGGGCAACCUGGCGACGAGUGGCGAACGGGUGAGUAAUGCAUCGGAACGUGCCCAGAAGUGGGGGAUAGCCCGGCGAAAGCCGGAUUAAUACCGCAUGAGACCUGAGGGUGAAAGCGGGGGAUCGCAGGACCUCGCGCUUUUGGAGCGGCCGAUGUCAGAUUAGCUAGUUGGUGGGGUAAAGGCCUACCAAGGCGACGAUCUGUAGCUGGUCUGAGAGGACGACCAGCCACACUGGGACUGAGACACGGCCCAGACUCCUACGGGAGGCAGCAGUGGGGAAUUUUGGACAAUGGGCGCAAGCCUGAUCCAGCCAUGCCGCGUGCGGGAAGAAGGCCUUCGGGUUGUAAAACGCUUUUGUCAGGGAAGAAACGAUCUGGGCUAAUACCCUGGGGUAAUGACGGUACCUGAAGAAUAAGCACCGGCUAACUACGUG